rnacentral:lncRNA from 1 species
AAAGCUACAAUGUUGAGUAUAAGGGUCCAUAAUGGCUUUGGAGAAGGAAAGUAGAUGGAAUUUUUUAAUAGCUUUCGCGGAUGCUUUAUAUGUGUUGUAAAUGUUGAAGUUUUAAAGGGACGUUUUUAAGUUGUUGAAGUUUUAAUGUUGUUGUUGUUAAUGUUUUUUAGUAUAUCUAUACCUAAAACUAAAACAACCACGCAAACAACACACUUCAAAACUAAAUACCAUUUAAUUCCCAACCACUUACUGACAACCAUCAAAGCUAACAACCAUUUAAUUCUCGGGUUCCAUUUACUAACAACCACCUAUAUCUAACAACCAAUAAAAGUUUUGAAGUAAUUUACCUCUUCUCAACUGUGAAAUGAAAAACAGAAGCUUUGAUGUGAUUCUUCAGAUACCUUUCUUCCAAGCACAUCCUCAACCCUUGCACAACCAACAAACCAAGUUUAAUUAAAACUUUGUUUUCUGUAAUGAGAUGAACGAAAACAACAACAGAAAACUAAAAAAGCUUCAUCUGAUCAUGUGAACUACAGAGCCUUAACCAAUUUUAUUAAGACAAAAGAAGUCAGAACUUAAGCAUAUCGAUUCCACAAACAGUCAAUCCCACCAUCGCUAAUUAAUACAAAACAGAGGAAAUAUUAAGCAUAUCAGAUCCAGAAACAAUCAUUUCAUAUAUUCAACAGUCGAACAAAACUCUAUUAGUAAUCUAACAGAUUUCACCGUCCUCAAUAUUAUGAAACAAUCAUAAAAAUCUAAAAAAUUAAUUUUACAAAAGACAAGGGAUGGGAGAUAAACCAAAAUCGAGACAACAGUAACAUAAAUAUCAAAUCAAACGGAUGAUUUCUUACCGACAAAGAGACCGAGACGAGAUUCCAGACGAGGUGCGAGACAGAGACGACGAGGUUCGACAGAGAGACGAUGAGGUUCGAUAGAGAGACGACGAGGUUCGGGACAGAGACGAGACUCGGGAGAGAGACGACGAGAUUUGAUUCAGAGACGCCGAGAUUUUUGAGAGAGAGACGAGCUUGCUUCGAGAGAGAGACGACGAGGCUCGACAGAGAUACGACGAGGCUCGACAGAGAGACGACGAGGCUCGGGACAGAGACG